UACGGAGGGGACUAGCGUUGUUCGGAAUUACUGGGCGUAAAGCGCACGUAGGCGGAUUUGUUAGUCAGGGGUGAAAUCCCGAGGCUCAACCUCGGAACUGCCUUUGAUACUGCAAAUCUCGAGUCCGGAAGAGGUGAGUGGAAUUCCUAGUGUAGAGGUGAAAUUCGUAGAUAUUAGGAAGAACACCAGUGGCGAAGGCGGCUCACUGGUCCGGUACG
rnacentral:rRNA from 1 species